GUGUCCAUGCAACUUAUGUGACUUGUUAAGCAAAUGUUUAUUCCUGAAUUGAUUUAGGCUUGCCAUAACAAAGGGGGUUGAAUACUUAUUGAAAUUUCAGCUUUUCAUGUUGUAUUCAUUUGUAACAAUUGUGUAAAACAUCAUUCCACUUUGACAUUAUGGGGUAUUGUGUGUAGGCCAAUACCCCAUAACACAUCUCAAGGAGUUUGAAUAAUUUCUGAAAGCACUGUAUAUGGUACUGCAUAACGGCAUAGCUGUGACGACCGUGAUCUAGAGCCUUCAUAGGUUGACUGGAGUAUUACGACGUAUUAUGACGUGUGAGGUGUCUGUGGAAUGUCAUGUGCACUCCACCACAAUCCUGCAGUGGAUCAUCUCUGGGCUAUCUGCAUCAUGGCCAUCCCCGCUGACAAGCUAAGCCUGUCUAAAAGUCUAAAACUGAUACCACCUAUAAAUAUGGAUGGUUCAGAUUCUACCGCCGACUGAUACAUUUGUGGAAAAGAAUAGCCCGUUCUUAUCCUGACUGUUUCCCAUAGCCAUGGGCUUUAAAAUACAAUCUGUGUUGACUGAGUGAAGGCUUUCAGAUGAGAUGGAGGUCAGGAAUGAUCACUAUAGGCACCCAUUCUCAACGCUGUAGACUAAUUCUGUAAUUCUGUUUAUGUAUUGUAUCCCCAGAUGGAUAUAGUCUGAGGGGGUGUGUAAUAAUUCUGUUUAUGUAUUGUAUCCCCAGAUGGAUAUAGUCUGAGGAGGUGUGUAAUAAUACUGUUUAUGUAUUUUAUCCCCAGAUGGAUAUAGUCUGAGGAGGUGUGUAAUAAUUCUGUUUGUGUAUUGUAUCCCCAGAUGGAUAUAGUCUGAGGAGGUGUGUAAUAAUACAGUUUAUGUAUUUUAUCCCCAGAUGGAUAUAGUCUGAGGAGGUGUGUAAUAAUACUGUUUAUGUAUUGUAUCCCCAGAUGGAUAUAGUCUGAGGAGGUGUGUAAUAAUACUGUUUAUGUAUUGUAUCCCCAGAUGGAUAUAGUCUGAGGAGGUGUGUAAUAAUACUGUUUAUGUAUUUUAUCCCCAGAUGGAUAUAGUCUGAGGAGGUGUGUAAUAAUACGGUUUGUGUAUUGUAUCCCCAGAUGGAUAUAGUCUGAGGAGUUGUGUAAUAAUACUGUUUAUGUAUUGUAUCCCCAGAUGGAUAUAGUCUGAGGAGUUGUGUAAUAAUACGGUUUGUGAUGACUGGCUGCAAGCCUCUGCUGGCCCUUUGGAAGGGAAAUCUAGAUCUUCCCAGAAACAACCCCCUACUUCAACCUAAGCACCUGUGUAGAUCAGAGGGCAAGUUGAAGCAUGCGUGUUUAUGUUUCUUUCUAUCCAAUUCAUUCAGACCUACAUGAAGUGUGGAGAGGGUAAGGGGACAGGCCUAUUUCCAGUCAAAACUCCAAAUGUCAGGUAACAGUCCUUUAAUUACACUACACUACAAACAGUCCUUUAAAUGACACUACAAUUACACUAUACUACGGUCAUUUUAACUACACUACUAUUACACUACACUACAAACAGUCAUUUUAAUUACACUACUAUUACACUACACUAAAAACAGUCAUUUUAAUUACACUACUGUUACACUACACUAGAAACAGUCCUUUUAAUUACACUACUAUUACACUACACUAGAAACAGUCAUUUUAAUUACACUACUAUUACACUACACUAGAAACAGUCCUUUUAAUUACACUACUAUUACACUACACUAGAAACAGUCAUUUUAAUUACACUACUAUUACACUACACUAGAAACACUCCUUUUAAUUACACUACUAUUACACUACACUAGAAAC
rnacentral:lncRNA from 1 species